rnacentral:rRNA from 1 species
UAAAGGGCGCGAAGGCGGUUUUGCAAGUCAACUGUCAAAUCGCGGGGCUUAACCCCGCUUCGCAGUUGAAACUGUAAGACUGGAGGCACAGAGAGGCAGACAGAAUUCCUGGUGUAGCGGUGAAAUGCGUAGAUAUCAGGAAGAAUACCAGUGGCGAAGGCGGUCUGCUGGCUGUGGACUGACGCUCAAGCGCGAAAGCCAGGGGAGCAAACGGGAUUAGAUACCCCGGUAGUCCUGGCAGUAAACGAUGUAUGCUGGGUGUGAGAGUAGCGAUACUUUCGUGCCGAAGUUAACGCGAUAAGCAUACCGCCUGGGGAGUACGGUCGCAAGAUUGAAACUCAAAGGAAUUGACGGGGGCCCGCACAAGCGGUGGAGCACGUGGUUUAAUUCGAUGCAAACCGAAGAACCUUACCUAGGCUUGACAUGUAGGUGGUAGAGAAUGGAAACAGGAUCGACGUGAUAGCAAUAUCACGAGCCUACACAGGUGCUGCAUGGCUGUCGUCAGCUCGUGUCGUGAGAUGUUGGGUUAAGUCCCGCAACGAGCGCAACCCCUAUUGCCAGUUGCUAACACGUCAAGGUGAGCACUCAGGCGAGACUGCCAUCGACAAGAUGGAGGAAGGUGGGGACGACGUCAAGUCAUCAUGGCCCCUAUGCCUAGGGCGACACACAUGCUACAAUGGCUGGUACAAAGGGCAGCGAGACCGAAAGGUAGAGCGAAUCCCAUAAAGCCAGUCCCAGUUCGGAUUGCAGUCUGCAACUCGACUGCAUGAAGUUGGAAUCGCUAGUAAUCGCGGAUCAGCCAAGCCGCGGUGAAUACGUUCCCGGGCCUUGUACACACCGCCCGUCACACCAUCCGAGUCGGGUGCUCUCAAAGCCGGUGUUCUAACCGUAAGGAAGAAGCCGUCUAAAGAGUGUCCGGUGAGGAGGGUGAAGUCGUAACAAGGUAGCCGUACGGGAACGUGCGGCUG